rnacentral:misc_RNA from 1 species
GCAAACUUGGUCAUUUAGAGGAAGUAAAAGUCGUAACAAGGUUUCCGUAGGUGAACCUGCGGAAGGAUCAUUAAUAAUCACAUUGUCGGGUCGUUGCAUUGCUCCUGCUAUAAACAGCAAGAGUGAUCAACUUCUCUUCAUUCUUGUGAACUGGAAGGCUUCGGCCUUUGCCAAAUCAUUUCAUAUUUUCUUUUUUUUUUCUAUUAUAAAGUUGAAUCUUUAUGAAAAUAAGACACAACUUUCAGCAAUGGAUCUCUUGGCUCUUGCAUCGAUGAAGAACGCAGC